rnacentral:tRNA from 1 species
AGGAAAAUAAGCUAAGAUUCAAGCUUUCAGGUUCAUACCCUGAAUAUAGAAGAUAAUUAACUUCUUUUUCCUA